rnacentral:lncRNA from 1 species
CACUUCGAUUUAUUCAAGGACAAAGGGGAUAACUAAUGUUAUCUCUCAUCAGUUAUAGUGGACACUUUAGACAAUGAAACCCCUUUAUUUCUUUUCUCUAUCGGUCCAUUAAGACUAAUUUUGAGGUAAUUAAGAAGCAUGCACGUCUUCAUCAUAAAUAAGAACAGUAGAGUGAGUCAAUGUAGAAUUUAAUCGGCCAGAUUACAUAACCAUCUGGGUAGGCCAAAGUCGUUGCCGACUUCAAUCGAUUUUGGUCACUCUCAUGCAGCACCAAUUUUUACAUCUUGGUCCUAAAAAAACUUUGGACUAGGAGAAAACUCAAAUGUCAAGUAUCAUAAAUUUUGGUCAAACUAUCAUAAAAUUUUCUCCUAUGUCAAGUUUAGUUUAUCAUAAAUUUUGGUCACUCUCUCAUGCACCAAGUUCGGUCCUAAAAAACUUUAGCCUAGGAGAAAACUAAAAAAACUUGGUCAAAUUUAUCAUAGUUUGACCUAGGAGAAAGCUAAAAUGUCAAGUCUU